rnacentral:rRNA from 1 species
GUCUAUAAUGACUCUCGGCAACGGAUAUCUCGGCCCUUGCAUCGAUGAAGAACGUAGCGAAAUGCGAUACUUGGUGUGAAUUGCAGAAUCCCGUGAACCAUCGAGUCUUUGAACGCAAGUUGCGCCUGAAGCCAUUAGGCUAAGGGCACGCCUGCCUGGGUGUCACCAA